GACGAACGCUGGCGGCGUGCUUAACACAUGCAAGUCGAACGGAAAGGCCCUGCUUUUGUGGGGUGCUCGAGUGGCGAACGGGUGAGUAACACGUGAGUAACCUGCCCUUGACUUUGGGAUAACUUCAGGAAACUGGGGCUAAUACCGGGUAGGAGCUCCUGCUGCAUGGUGGGGGUUGGAAAGUUUCGGCGGUUGGGGAUGGACUCGCGGGUUAUCCGCUGGUUGGGGGGGUAGUGGUUUACCAAGGCUUUGACGGGUAGCCGGCCUGGGAGGGUGACCGGCCACAAUGGGACUGAGAUACGGAGCAGACUCCUACGGGAGGCAGCAGUGGGGAAUAUUGCACAAUGGGCGGAAGCCUGAUGCAGCAACGUCGCGUGCGGGAUGACGGCCUUCGGGUGGUAAACCGCUUUCGCCUGUGACGAAGCGUGAGUGACGGUAAUGGGUAAAGAAGCACCGGCUAACUACGUG
rnacentral:rRNA from 1 species